GCCGGGCGAGGUGGCGGGCGCCUGUAGUCCCAGCUACUCGGGAGGCUGAGGCAGGAAAAUGGCGUGAACCCAGGAGGCGGAGCUUGCAGUGAGCUGAGAUCCGGCCACUGCACUCCAGCCUGGGCGACAGAGCGAGACUCCGUCUCAAAAAAAAAAAAAAAAAAAAGAUCACCUGAGCCUAAGAGUUCUGGCCUGUAGUGUGCUAUGCCAGUCAGGUGUCUACACUAAGCUCAGCAUCAAUAUAAUUAUCUCCAGGGAGUAGUGGGACCACCAGGUUGCCUAAGGAGGGGUUAACUAGCCCAGGUUGGAAACAGAGGUCAAAACUCCCGUGCCGAUCAUUAGUGGGAUCACGCCUGUGAGCAACCACUGCACUCUAGCCUGGCGCAACACAGCAAGACCACAUCUCAA
ensembl:misc_RNA Metazoa_SRP Metazoan signal recognition particle RNA